GGCUCCAUAGUGGAGUGGUUAGCACGUCUGCUUUACAUUCAGAAUGUCCUGGGUUCACACCCCAGGUGGAGACA
rfam:Pteropus alecto contig169302, whole genome shotgun sequence.